GAUGAACGCUAGCGGCAGGCCUAACACAUGCAAGUCGAGGGGCAGCACAGAAACAGCAAUGUUUUGGUGGCGACCGGCGGACGGGUGCGUAACGCGUAUGCAACCUACCUUUAACAGGGGGAUAACGGAGAGAAAUUUCCACUAAUACCCCAUAACAUCGAUCAAGGCAUCUUGAUUGGUUGAAAACUCCGGUGGUUAAUGAUGGGCAUGCGUUGUAUUAGGUAGUUGGUGAGGUAAUGGCUCACCAAGCCUACGAUACAUAGGGGGACUGCGAGGGUAGCCCCCCACGCUGGUACUGAGACGCGGACCAGACUCCUACGGGAGGCAGCAGUGAGGAAUAUUGGUCAAUGGGGGCAACCCUGAACCAGCCAUGCCACGUUCAGGAAGACGGCUCUAUGAGUUGUAAACUGCUUUUAAACAGGGAUAAAGCACAGUAUGUAUACUGUGUUGAAGGUACUGUAAGAAUAAGGAUCGGCUAACUCCGUGCCAGCCGCCGCAGUAA
rnacentral:rRNA from 1 species